GCCACCUCUGCACAUUGCAAGACCAGAAGUUCAGCGGGUUUUAUCUUCAGCCCCACAUCCUUGCAUUUUCCUGUUCAAUUUUUGAUCCACCCAGAUGUCUUCAACAUUUCUGUCAUCACAAGUUUAUAUGAAAAA
rnacentral:sRNA from 1 species